rnacentral:rRNA from 1 species
AUUGAACGCUGGCGGCAGGCCUAACACAUGCAAGUCGAGCGAGAGGCGGACGGGUGAGUAAUGUAUGGGGACUGCCCGAUAGAGGGGGAUAACUACUGGAAACGGUGGCUACUACCGCAUACUAUCGGAUAAACCCUAUGGGAUUAGCUAGUAGGUGGGGUAAAGGCUCACCUAGGCGGCGAUCUCUAGCUGGUCUGAGAGGAUGAUCAGCCACACUGUGACUGAGACACGGCCCAGACGCCUACGGAGGUAUCAGUGGGGAAUAUUGCACAAUGGUCGCAAGCCUGAUGCAGCCAUGCCGCGUGUAUGAAGAAGGCCUUAGGGUUGUAAAGUACUUUCAGCGGGGAGUCGUUACCCGCACAAGAAGCACCUGGUAACUCCGUGCCAGCAGCCGCGGUAAUUC